rnacentral:rRNA from 1 species
GGAACUCGGCAAAAUGACCCCGUAACUUAGGGAGAAGGGGUGCCAUGGAAACAUGGCCGCAGAGAAUAGGCCCAAGCGACUGUUUACCAAAAACAUAGGUUUCUGCUAAGUCGCAAGACGAUGUAUAGGAGCUGACGCCUGCCCGGUGCUGGAAGGUUAAGGGGAUCUGUUAGGGUAACCGAAGCAGUGAACUUAAGCCCCAGUAAACGGCGGCCGUAACUAUAACGGUCCUAAGGUAGCGAAAUUCCUUGUCGGGUAAGUUCCGACCCGCACGAAAGGCGUAACGAUUUGGGCACUGUCUCAACAACAGACUGGGUGAAAUUGUAAUACCGGUGAAGAUGCCGGUUACCUGCGACAGGACGGAAAGACCCCAUGGAGCUUUACUGUAGCUUGACAUUGAGUCUCGGUGCUACAUGUACAGGAUAGGUGGGAGGCUAUGAAGCAUGGACGUCAGUCUGUGUGGAGCCAUCCUUGGGAUACCACCCUUGUAGUACUGGGAUUCUAACCAGCUGCCUUGAAUCAGGUAGUGGGACACUGUCAGGUGGACAGUUUGACUGGGGCGGUCGCCUCCUAAAGAGUAACGGAGGCGCUCAAAGGUUCUCUCAGUACGGUCGGAAAUCGUACGUAGAGUGUAAAGGCAGAAGAGAGCUUGAUUGCAAGACAUACAGGUCGAGCAAGGACGAAAGUCGGACUUAGUGAUCCGGUGGUACCGCAUGGAAGGGCCAUCGCUCAACGGAUAAAAGCUACCCUGGGGAUAACAGGCUGAUCUCCCCCAAGAGUCCACAUCGACGGGGAGGUUUGGCACCUCGAUGUCGGCUCAUCACAUCCUGGGGCUGUAGUAGGUCCCAAGGGUUGGGCUGUUCGCCCAUUAAAGUGGUACGCGAGCUGGGUUCAGAACGUCGUGAGACAGUUCGGUCCCUAUCCGUCGCAGGCGUAGGAAAUUUGAGGAGACCUGUCCUUAGUACGAGAGGACCGGGAUGGACGUACCGCUGGUGUACCAGUUGUUCUGCCAAGGGCAUAGCUGGGUAGCUAAGUACGGAAAGGAUAAGCGCUGAAAGCAUCUAAGCGCGAAGCCUACUUCGAGAUAAGAUUUCCCACCGUAAGGUUAAGACCCCAUGAAGACUACAUGGUUGAUAGGUCAGAGGUGGAAGUGUGGUAACAUAUGUAGCUUAC